AGAGUUUGAUUCUGGCUCAGGAUAAACGCUGGCGGCAUGCCUAACACAUGCAAGUCGAACGGGGUUUAUAUAACAGAACUCUCCGGAGGGAAGUUAUAUAAACCUAGUGGCGGACGGGUGAGUAACGCGUGGGGAACCUGCCCUGUACCGGGGGACAACAGCCAGAAAUGGCUGCUAAUACCGCAUAAUCCUGCGCUGCCGCAUGGCAGCGCAGGGAAAACUCCGGUGGUACAGGAUGGUCCCGCGUCUGAUUAGCUUGUUGGCGGGGUAACGGCCCACCAAGGCAACGAUCAGUAGCCGGCUUGAGAGAGCGGACGGCCACAUUGGGACUGAGACACGGCCCAGACUCCUGCGGGAGGCAGCACUCGGGAAUAUUGCACAAUGGGGGGAACCCUGAUGCAGCAAUGCCGCGUGGGUGAAGAAGUACCCCGGUAUGUAAAGCCCUGUCAGCAGGGAAGAAAAUGACGGUACCUGACUAAGAAACCCCGGCUAACUACGUGCCAGCAGCCGCGGUAAUACGUAGGGGGCGAGCGUUAUCCGGAUUUACUGGGUGUAAAGGGAGCGCAAGCGGCGUGGCAAGU
rnacentral:rRNA from 1 species